rnacentral:rRNA from 1 species
GACGAACGCUGGCGGCGUGCUUAACACAUGCAAGUCGAACGGAAAGGCCCUGCUUUUGUGGGGUGCUCGAGUGGCGAACGGGUGAGUAACACGUGAGUAACCUGCCCUUGACUUUGGGAUAACUUCAGGAAACUGGGGCUAAUACCGGAUAGGAGCUCCUGCUGCAUGGUGGGGGUUGGAAAGUUUCGGCGGUUGGGGAUGGACUCGCGGCUUAUCAGCUUGUUGGUGGGGUAGUGGCUUACCAAGGCUUUGACGGGUAGCCGGCCUGAGAGGGUGACCGGCCACAUUGGGACGAAGAUACGGCACAGACUCCUACGGGAGGCAGCAGUGGGGAAUAUUGCACAAUGGGCGGAAGCCUGAUGCAGCAACGCCGCGUGCGGGAUGACGGCGUUCGGGUUGUAAACCGCUUUCGCCGGUGACGAAGCGUGAGUGACGGUAAUGGGUAAAGAAGCACCGGCUAACUACGUG